GGCGAACGUUUGCGGCGGGCUUAACACAUGCAAGUCGAACGAUAACCGUCCCUUCGGGGAUGGGGAAAGUGGCGCACGGGUGCGUAACACGUGGAUAACCAACCCUCUAAACUGGGACAACCAGGGGAAACCCUGGCUAAUACCGGAUGUGGCGCAGAGAACCUCGGUUUUUUGGCGCGAAAGACCCGGAAGGGUCGUUAGGGGACGGGUUCGCGGCCCAUCAGCUUGUUGGCGAGGUAAUGGCUCACCAAGGCUAAGACGGGUAGCUGGUCUGAGAGGAUGAUCAGCCACACUGGAACUGAGACACGGUCCAGACUCCUACGGGAGGCAGCAGUGGGGAAUAUUGCGCAAUGGGCGAAAGCCUGACGCAGCCACGCCGCGUGUGCGAUGAAGGUCUUCGGAUCGUAAAGCACUGUGGAGGGAGAAGAAUAAAGCCGGUGAAGAGCCGGCCUUGACGGUAUCCCUUUAGCAAGCACCGGCUAACUCCGUGCCAGCAGCCGCGGUAAUACGGAGGGUGCAAACGUUGCUCGGAAUCAUUGGGCGUAAAGCGCACGUAGGCGGCUGAGAAGGUUGGAUGUGAAAAGCCCGGGGGCUCAACCCCGGAAGUGCA
rnacentral:rRNA from 1 species